GGGGAAAGGAGGCACUUGUUCUAUUAUUGUCCAGAGAGCAGCUCUCAUAUACAGGAACUUUAAGGAUUCUACAAAGAAAGCUUGCUCUAUUUUACAUGAAAUGACUUACAAGCUCAGGUUAAUUCUAUGGCUUGUGAGAACCAACAAAUUAGUGUGAGGUGAUUUUAAAUCAAAAUUUAAUCCACCCCUUUAAACCCAUAUCUACUCAAACCUACCUCUAAAACCAGAAUCAACAGGACAAUUGGGUGUUGUAGGAACAUGGACAAUUAGGUGUUAAGAGUACAGCAAGUAGGUUCCCUGCACUCUCAUAGCACCCAAUUGUUUUUAGCCCCUUUUCA
rnacentral:misc_RNA from 1 species